rfam:Myotis davidii contig177821, whole genome shotgun sequence.
GGUAGUUCUUGGGUGACACAAAUUCUGGAAUCGAGCUCCCUCCUCUCUAGUUCUGGGUGCAUCACCCAAGAACCUCA